CAUAGCGACUAUCGUGGCAUAUCAAUAAGCGGAGGAAAAGAAACUAACUAGGAUUCCCUCAGUAACGGCGAGUGAAGCGGGAAGAGCUCAAAUUUGAAAUCUUCAAGGUUUUACCUUGACGAAUUGUAGUUUAAAGAAGUGUUUUCUGUUGGUGUUUUGGUAAAAGUUCUUUGGAAUAGGACAUCAUAGAGGGUGAGAAUCCCGUAUUUGACCAUUACUUCCAGCGUUGUGAUACACUUUCAAAGAGUCGGAUUGUUUGGGAAUGCAGUCCAAAAUGGGUGGUAAAUUUCAUCUAAAGCUAAAUAUUGGCGAGAGACCGAUAGCGAACAAGUACCGUGAGGGAAAGAUGAAAAGAACUUUGAAAAGAGAGUUAAACAGUACGUGAAAUUGUCAAAAGGGAAGCGUUUGACACCAGUGUUGUUUAGUUGAAAAUCAAUUCAAUAAUUUUUGAUUUUAAGUAGUAUUGACUUCAUCAGCUUGCUGCUUUCUUUUCAGAAAUUAUUGAAUGCACUUUUCAGUUAACAAGUCAACAUCAAUUUCUUUUGUUGUAAAAGGGUAAGAGGAAGGUGGCUUACGCUUCGGCGUAAGUGUUUAUAGCCUUAUACCUCUACAAUCGGAGAGAUUGAGGAUCAGCAGCGUAGACUCUUCGGGGUUAGAUACACUUGUGCUAAGCUAUAGCCUUUUAUAGACAACUUGUUGACUAUGCUCAGUCAUGUAGCUUACUCGCUUAUGCUAUUUUACCUACGCUUAGGAUGUUGACGCGCGUGUGUGCGUG
rnacentral:rRNA from 1 species